rnacentral:misc_RNA from 1 species
GCUUGGGCUUGGCGAAGAGAGAAAGCCUCAGAAAACAAUCUACGCACGAUUGCUGGCUAAAGCUGCUCAUUCCUUAGCUGAGGGACAGAAAAAAUCCGAGCCAAAAGAUUUGUGGGCUGAACCGUAUUUUGUUGCUUCCUCUUGGAAACCUUGUGCUGAGCAGCGUCAAUGGCUACCUAGUGAGGGAAAAAAUGGUUACAUUAUUGUCACUGCAAAUGGUGGGAUAAAUCAGCAGCGAGUAGCUGUCUGCAAUAUUGUUGCUAUUGCAAGAUUACUCGAUGCAACCUUGGUUCUUCCGAAAUUUCUGUACAGUAGUGUUUGGAAAGAUGUGAGUUUGGCGAGAUCUACCAGGAGGAGCAUUUCAUUGACUACCUGAAACCUGAUAUUCGUAUAGUUAGAGAACUUCCUCAGGAGUUGCAGUCAUUAGAUCUAGAGGCCAUUGGCAGUUUGGUGACAGAUGCAGAUGUUGUAAAAGAAGCAAAGCCAGGUUUCUACAAGAAAUAUAUUCUUCCUAUUUUACAUAAAAACGGAGUUGUUCAUUUUCUUGGAUUUGGGAAUCGAUUGGCAUCUGACCCGUUACCACCUCAGGUGCAGAGACUUCGAUGCAGAUGUA